GGCACCUUGUGGACGUGCUCGAAGAGUUUUUGGUUCCUUGUGGAGCCUUUUGGCUUGGGUUGAGCACUGGAAGAUGCUCAUUGGGUGCUUCAUCUCUCCCCCAGUGCCCGCACUGGUCAUCACUGCUGUCGUUGUUGUCGCCAUCUGCUACUGCAGGAUGAAAAUGCGUGCAGGGCAGGCCUACACGGUGACAGCCAUCCCCAUGGUGGCUCCUGCUGCUGAGAACGAGGAGAUGUUGCCGCCCGGCACCUUCCCCACAGGCUGAGAACCCACCGUUGGGCAACUCAGUGCACCCACCAGCCCAAGGGAUGCUCCGAGCUUGGAUGGGAAGGCAGACACUUCCCUGAGUGGUGGCAGCAUGUGACAGAGCACAUCCCAGUCUCCGUGCGGAGCAUCCUCACUCCAGGGACACGUGGUCGCUCUUCCCAGCCUGAACAAGUGACUCUUCGUGGAUGAGGCCACCCCAGCACCCAAAGCCAUCCACCGGUGAACCUGUGACUGCAGCCCACAGUUGACCCUCCUACACAGCUCAGGGAUCCUUUGGAGGCACUUUCUGCACCAACCCCAGGUACCCACCAGCUCCAGCUGCUCGCAGGGGACCACAACAGACACUACCAAAGACUGAAGGCAACAAAACCACAAGGAAAUAUUUCCCUUUGCAGGUUUUCCCCUUCUCUGUCUGUCAUUAGGGUUUGGUUUUCCCCCCCUCCGACUCGUUCCUCCCUCCUAAACAGGCAGCUUUACACUGGUGCUGGUUUAUGUAUAAAUGUGUAUAUAGUGUAUAUAAAAUAAUGCACACACAGACGUUGAUUUUUUUGGCGGCAGCUGUGGUGGUGGAGAAGACAGCGGGGACAGACGGGAGCUGGGUUGGGGUGAAAUCCAUCUCUGCAGCAACAAGGGCUCGUGGGCCACCAGGAUUGCUGUGCUCUAGAGGCCAAGGGUUUUUAGCAGUCAGCUGGAAUCCAGGAGGUAUCAUCUAACAACUUAAAAUUCCACCUCCUUUCCUCGCUGCCGUGUCUCGUCCUCCUGUUUGUGCCACGGAGCUGAACCACGGGAGGUGGAGGAGGCACCACGGUGGAUGUGUGACCCACCAAACCCUCCUCUCCCCGACGUACCACUGGGAAAAACAGGUGAGGCUGGAAGGGAUCGUUGGUUCCAAAGUCCAUCCCGAGCUUUGCUUUUCCAUCCAACAUCCAAGUCUUGGGUGACUUCUGCUCUUCUGCCCCCCUUCUUCCCUCCC